CUGCUGCCUCCCGUAGGAGUUUGGACCGUGUCUCAGUUCCAAUGUGGGGGACCUUCCUCUCAGAACCCCUAUCCAUCGUCGUCUUGGUGGGCCGUUACCCCGCCAACUAACUAAUGGAACGCAUCCCCAUCGAUAACCGAAAUUCUUUAAUAUCAAGAUCAUGCGAUCUUGAUAUGCUAUCGGAUAUUAAUCUUUCUUUCGAAAGGCUAUCCCCGAGUUAUCGGCAGGUUGGAUACGUGUUACUCACCCGUGCGCCGGUCG
rnacentral:rRNA from 1 species